rnacentral:rRNA from 1 species
UACGUAGGGUGCAAGCGUUAAUCGGAAUUACUGGGCGUAAAGCGUGCGCAGGCGGUUUUGUAAGUCUGAAGUGAAAUCCCCGGGCUCAACCUGGGAAUUGCGUUGGAGACUGCAAGGCUGGAGUCUGGCAGAGGGGGGUAGAAUUCCACGUGUAGCAGUGAAAUGCGUAGAGAUGUGGAGGAACACCGAUGGCGAAGGCAGCCCCCUGGGUCAAGACUGACGCUCAUGCACGAAAGCGUGGGGAGCAAACAGG